CAGCCGCGGUAAUACGAAGGGGGCUAGCGUUGUUCGGAAUUACUGGGCGUAAAGGGCGCGUAGGCGGCCAUUCAAGUUAGAUGUGAAAGCCCUGGGCUCAACCUAGGAAUUGCAUUUGAUACUGUUUGGCUUGAGUUCGGGAGAGGUGAGUGGAAUUCCCAGUGUAGAGGUGAAAUUCGUAGAUAUUGGGAAGAACACCAGUGGCGAAGGCGGCUCACUGGACCGACACUGACGCUGAGGCGCGAAAGCUAGGGGAGCAAACAGGAUUAGAUACCCGAGUAGUCCCUGUCUCUUAUACACA
rnacentral:rRNA from 1 species